rnacentral:misc_RNA from 1 species
GAAAUGCGAUAAGUAAUGUGAAUUGCAGAAUUCAGUGAAUCAUCGAAUCUUUGAACGCACAUUGCGCCCGGCAGCAAUCUGCCGGGCAUGCCUGUCCGAGCGUCAUUUCUGCCCUCGAGCGCGGUUCGGCCCCUAGCGGGCCGGCCGCCGCCCGGUGUUGGGGCGCUGCGGGCCCUCGUGCCCGCAGGCCCUGAAAUGAAGUGGCGGUCCCGCCGCGGCGCCCCCUGCGUAGUAGUAAAGCACCUCGCAUCGGGUCCCGGCGGAGGCCAGCCGUCGAACCGCUCUUUUGAUGGUUUGACCUCGGAUCAGGUAGGGUUACCCGCUGAACUUAAGC